UACGUAGGGGGCGAGCGUUGUUCGGAGUUACUGGGCGUAAAGCGUGCGUAGGCGGUGCGGCAAGUCUGUUGUGAAAUCUCCCGGCUUAACUGGGAGGGUGCGGUGGAAACUGGGGUGCUGGAGUGCGGGAGAGGUAAGCGGAAUUCCCGGUGUAGCGGUGAAAUGCGUAGAUAUCUGGAGGAACACCAAUGGCGAAGGCAACUUCCUGGGGCAAUACUGACACUGAGGUGCGAAAGCGUGGGGAGCAAACAGG
rnacentral:rRNA from 1 species